ensembl:misc_RNA Metazoa_SRP Metazoan signal recognition particle RNA
GCCGGGCAUGCUGGCUCAUGCCUGUAAUCCUAGCACUUUGGGAGGCUGAGGUGGGUGGAUCACUUGAGGCCAGGACUUCCAAACCAGCCUGGUCAACAUGGUGAAACCCCAUCUCUA